GACGAACGCUGGCGGCGUGCCUAAUACAUGCCAGUAGAACGCUGAAGGAGGAGCUUGCUUCUCUGGAUGAGUUGCGAACGGGUGAGUAACGCGUAGGUAACCUGCCUGGUAGCGGGGGAUAACUAUUGGAAACGAUAGCUAAUACCGCAUAAUAGUAGAUGUUGCAUGACAUUUGCUUAAAAGGUGCAAUUGCAUCACUACCAGGUGGACCUGCGUUGUAUUAGCUAGUUGGUGGGGUAACGGCUCACCAAGGCGACGAUACAUAGCCGACCUGAGAGGGUGAUCGGCCACACUGGGACUGAGACACGGCCCAGACUCCUACGGGAGGCAGCAGUAGGGAAUCUUCGGCAAUGGACGGAAGUCUGACCGAGCAACGCCGCGUGAGUGAAGAAGGUUUUCGGAUCGUAAAGCUCUGUUGUAAGAGAAGAACGAGUGUGAGAGUGGAAAGUUCACAUUGUGACGGUAUCUUACCAGAAAGGGACGGCUAACUACGUG
rnacentral:rRNA from 1 species